UAGGGAAUCUUGCGCAAUGGGCGAAAGCCUGACGCAGCCAUGCCGCGUGAAUGAUGAAGGUCUUAGGAUUGUAAAAUUCUUUCACCGGGGAAGAUAAUGACGGUACCCGGAGAAGAAGCCCCGGCUAACUUCGUGCCAGCAGCCGUGGUAAUACGAAGGGGGCUAGCGUUGCUCGGAAUUACUGGGCGUAAAGGGCGCGUAGGCGGACAUUUAAGUCAGGGGUGAAAGCCCGGGGCUCAACCUCGGAAUUGCCUUUGAUACUGGAUGUCUUGAGUUCGGGAGAGGUGAGUGGAAUGCCGAGUGUAGAGGUGAAAUUCGUAGAUAUUCGGCGGAACACCAGUGGCGAAGGCGACUCACUGGCCCGAUACUGACGCUGAGGCGCGAAAGCGUGGGGAGCAAACAGGAUUAGAUACCCUGGUAGUCCACGCCGUAAACGAUGAGUGCUAGUUGUCGGCAUGCAUGCAUGUCGGUGACGCAGCUAACGCAUUAAGCACUCCGCCUGGGGAGUACGGUCGCAAGAUUAAAAACUCAAAUGAAUUGACGGGGGUCAUAGCUGUUUCCUG
rnacentral:rRNA from 1 species